CCCCCGCCGACCUGGAUCCAGUGGGAGCGGGAAGGGAGGCGCUAACCAUUCCCCUCCCAUUCCACCCCUCGCGGCCCCAAAUUCCGCGAGUCAGGUGACCCGGCCCCGGGCUCUGGCCGGGACCUGCGGGGGGUGCUCUCCGCCCUCCAGCCCCCGGCGCAUCUCCCCGGCCCGCGCGUCCCGGCUGUUCGUGGCUUGCUUUUAGUCUCCAGGGAUCGUGGGACCCUUCUCCGCGGAUCUGUUUCAUCCUCUUAACCUGAAGGAGUCAGCAGAGAUUUCUCCAAGGGUAAGAGGCUACUACAAUAUUCUUCUCAGUGAGGUUGGGCACCUGCCGAGGAAACGAGGCUAAGAUCUUUGGCAAUAAAUACAUUCCGAAGACCUGCAUCAGUGCCCUGCUUGCAGAGUGUGGCAGAGAAGCUAAGCAUCUCAAACUCGGCAUUACAGACCUGAGAAGGCUGUAAGACUCUCUGGUCCAUCAUCACACGGGAGGAAUAUAAAUCCUCAGAGCUGUGCUGGGCAGCAUGUUAGCUGCUAGCCACACAUGGCUGCUGGACACUUGAAAUGUUGCUAGUCUGAAUUGUGCUGUGCUGUAAAUGCAAUUCACACCAGAUUUCAAAGAGUGCAGAAACUGAGUUUCAAGUAGAUCCAGCAACUUGCCCAAGUCGUAAAACCAGAAAGAGUGGAGCCGAGAAUCAAAGCUUGGAUGCCUGACCAGAGUGGACCUUUGAAACACUCCUCUGUAUAUUGUCUUCAGGCUGCCUGUAUUUACAAACUCUGAUAUUGACCUCAUUACUUCUCCCCGUUCUGCAGGCAGAAGACUGCUAUGAGAGCACUUAGGACCCAAGCGACAUCAGCCUUGGAACAGGCAAAUAAAAAUGGAAAGCUAAUCUUGGUGGCCUUCUCUUCUUCAAAAGGACAUUUUUAAGAUCCAAAUAGCCAUCAGUAUGGCCAAGUUGGUUGUUCGGCUAUGCAUAUCAGAAAUUCCAUAAAAUAUUCUCCAAUUACGGUGCUGGAGGAGGGUAUUAUGAGGAGUUCAUGAACAUCAAGAAGGCAGUUAAUGGGUUAUCAGAAGACUAAGAGAAGUGGUUUCCACAAAGCACAGAGUCAGAAGCAAUAAUGUGGUGUUUGGAGCCACAAGUACACCAGGUGCAGCUUUUCUUGCUUCCUCUACAGUGGAUCACAAUCUUGGCAGCCCAUUUAGAAUCACCUGCUUUUAAAAGUCACCAACUGCCUUGGCCCCAUACCCUAGGAUACUUACUAAAGUGGUCUGGUGUGGGGCCCAAGCAUUGGUAUUUUACAGUCUUUCCCUAGAUCAUCAUUAAAUGGGGCCACUGCUUUAUUGGUUGUCCCAGCCAUGUCAGAGCAUCUGGCUCUUGACUUAGCAUUGCAAGCAGAGGGAAAUUAGGUAAAAAGGGUGGGGUGGUUCUUGCCAUGGACCUUGCAAAAGUUGAUGCUCCAGAAAGAUUUCUUGACAGAGUGAUUCUAAACUGAGUUGCUAUUUUUGUUGGUAUCUCUCUGGUACAUUUGUUUUCUAUUAUGGAGUUAAACCUGCCCUCUGAGAUUCCUGUUUUCUUCAUUGAGGUCAAUUUCUGCUUAUGAGAUAUUUUGUGUUCUUUCUUAUCCAAAUAGUGCACCGGUAGUAAAUCUGUGUACUACUUUUGCUGAUGAAUUAUUUCAAAUCUAUUAAUGGUUUCUUGUCUAUGUUUUUCUUUUCCUUUUUUUUUUUGAGAUGGAG
rnacentral:lncRNA from 1 species